GUAGCAUGUCAUGAAUUCCUUUCGUGAUAGAUAUGUUUUGGAACUAAUGUUUUAUGCCAACCCUAGACCCCAAACAUAUCAAUAUGUGAACUAACAUUCAUGAAGCCAGCCCAUGCUAGGAGAUAAACAUGGUUUAGUUAUCAUUUUGAUGAAGUAUAAAGAAUAAAACUAGACAAUAGUCAUGAGCAAGAUUUGGUGACCAUAAAUUUAAAUAUGCAAGCAAUUGGCUUUUCUGGUAGAUGAUUUAGAGAAUGUGCUUACCUUAGAUUCCUUGCAAAAAUCUGGAUCAGAAAACCAAGUUUCAUCAACUACUACCUCUGGAGCUCGAGGUUUUCCAUUGAAAGCAACUGCAGCCAUAGAUGACGUCAAGACAACUCGUUUGACUGAUGGGACUUUUGCACAUGAGUUAAGAACAUUAAGUGUUCCCUUCAAUGCAGGAUCAAUUAAUUCAGCCUGUGGGUCCUUAACAUCAUGAUAAAAAGGAGAUGCAGUAUGGAAAACACCUUCACACCCUUCAACAGCAGCAUCAAAGGAACCUUCUUCCAGUAGGUUUGCUUUAAACAGCUGAAGUCUCUCCUCAGCUCCUUCAAGUGCGCGUAAGUGUUCAGUCUUUCUGGGAUCAUUUGGAUCACGAAUAGAGGCCUUGACGGUGUAGCCACGGAGGAGAAGGAGCUUCACAAGCCAGGAAGCAAUGUAACCGGAGGCCCCGGUGACGCAAACGAUCUUCCCUACUCCACUGCUCAUUUUCGUUGUCUCUGUUUCCUCCACGUUCUGGCUGCUCAGUUCACCCGAUAUCUAUCCUCGUUUUAUAGCCAUUUUUGGCCAUUACAAAAGUGGUAACAGUGCCUCAUAAUCACGCUGUGGUUUCGUGUGCAGGGACGUAUCACGCUGUGCUUUCGCGUGCAGGGACGUAGGCAAUAAUUUUUCAACAGCGAUGACUUAGCCGGUG
rnacentral:misc_RNA from 1 species